GGGGAUUUAGCUCAGUGGUAGAGCGCUUGCCUAGCAAGCACAAGGCCCUGGGUUCAGUCCCUA
rnacentral:tRNA from 1 species